rnacentral:rRNA from 1 species
AGUGAACGCUGGCGGCAGGCCUAACACAUGCAAGUCGAACGGCAGCACAGUAAGAGUUUGCUCUUACGGGUGGCGAGUGGCGGACGGGUGAGGCAUACAUCGGAAUCUUCUUUUUCGGGGGGGAUUACGUAGGGAAACUUACGCUACUAGCGCAUACGUUCUACGGGUGGAAGCAGGGGAUCUUGGGAGCUUUGGUGAAUGUAUGAGCCGAUGUCGGAUUAGCUAGUUGGCGGGGUAAAGGCCCACCAAGGCGACGAUCCGUAGCUGGUCUGAGAGGAUGAUCAGCCACACUGGAACUGAGACACGGUCCAGACUCCUACGGGAGGCAGCAGUGGGGAAUAUUGGACAAUGGGCGCAAGCCUGAUCCAGCCAUACCGCGUGGGUGAAGAAGGCCUUCGGGUUGUAAAGCCCUUUUGUUGGGAAAGAAAAGCAGCAGGUUAAUACCCCGCUGUUCUGACGGUACCCAAAGAAUAAGCACCGGCUAACUUCGUG